ACGAACGCUGGCGGCAGGCUUAACACCUGCAAGUCGAGCGCCCCGCAAGGGGAGCGGCCGACGGGUGAGUAACGCGUGGGAACGUACCUUUUGGUUCGGAACAACUCCGGGAAACUGGAGCUAAUACCGGAUAAGCCCUAACGGGGAAAGAUUUAUCGCCGAAAGAUCGGCCCGCGUCUGAUUAGCUAGUUGGUGAGGUAACGGCUCACCAAGGCGACGAUCAGUAGCUGGUCUGAGAGGAUGAUCAGCCACACUGGGACUGAGACACGGCCCAGACUCCUACGGGAGGCAGCAGUGGGGAAUAUUGGACAAUGGGCGCAAGCCUGAUCCAGCCAUGCCGCGUGAGUGAUGAAGGCCUUAGGGUUGUAAAGCUCUUUUGUCCGGGAAGAUAAUGACUGUACCGGAAGAAUAAGCCCCGGCUAACUUCGUG
rnacentral:rRNA from 1 species